rnacentral:rRNA from 1 species
UACGUAGGGUGCAAGCGUUGUCCGGAAUUAUUGGGCGUAAAGAGCGUGUAGGCGGCCCGGUAAGUCCGCUGUGAAAGUCCAGGGCUCAACCCUGGGAUGCCGGUGGAUACUGUCGGGCUCGAGUCCGGAAGAGGAGUGUGGAAUUCCUGGUGUAGCGGUGAAAUGCGCAGAUAUCAGGAGGAAUACCAAUGGCGAAGGCAGCACUCUGGGACGUGACUGACGCUGAGACGCGAAAGCGUGGGGAGGCAAACAGG